CAGUAGCCGCGGUAAUACGUAGGGUCCGAGCGUUGUCCGGAAUUAUUGGGCGUAAAGGGCUCGUAGGCGGUUUGUUGCGUCGGGAGUGAAAACCAGGUGCUUAACACCUGGCCUGCUUUCGAUACGGGCAGACUAGAGGCAUUCAGGGGAGAACGGAAUUCCUGGUGUAGCGGUGAAAUGCGCAGAUAUCAGGAGGAACACCGGUGGCGAAGGCGGUUCUCUGGGAAUGUUCUGACGCUGAGGAGCGAAAGUGUGGGGAGCGAACAGGAUUAGAUACCCGAGUAGUCCCUGUCUCUUAUAC
rnacentral:rRNA from 1 species